rnacentral:piRNA from 1 species
UAUGAAUGAAUGAAUGAAUGGGUGUGUC